rnacentral:lncRNA from 1 species
CAUAUGUUAACUUAUUGAAUGCUGACAGCAGCCCUCUAAGGUAGAUGCCAUUAGUAUUUCCAUUUACAUAUGAGGAAACAGAAGCAUAGAAAGAUUAAAUAAUUUGCCCAAUGUCACACAGUAAGUGGCAGAGUUCAUAUCCCUUGAAGACAUGACCACCACGCUUCACUCCCCACCUGUGACGCAGAGGAAGGUCUGAGAGGAAGAGUCCUCUCAGCCACCAGAAGCAGCAGCGAAAACCCAUCCAAAGGGUUCAAGAAAAACUUUCAUUCUGAGAAGAGGAACAAGGGUCGGGGGAGGCACGCCGGACCCCACAUAAUUUCUUCCUUCAAUUUUGAAGGAGAGUCGAGGGCUGGACCAUUAAGGCUUUAGUCUGAAUUCAGGCCUAAUGUGAGAAUUAAAGAACAGAAACCGCCAGACUAA